UGUCGCAAUAGCCAGGUCCCCCUCUUUCUCCCUCCCCAAGCACCAAAUCCAGCAAAGUAACGCCGCACCAUUUCCUCCUCCUCCUCCUCGUUGCCACAGUUUCACUUCAAACCAACCUCACACAAUCCCCCGCCCCACGAUCUAGUUGCUCGACCCCACGAUUCAUGCUUAAUCACCUCCCGGACUUCAGUUUACAGCUGGGUUCGUCAGUCUGAUCCUUUACCUUGUGUGCCGGAUCUUGAUUGUAUUUCCUCUCUCGAAUUGUUGGAAUAGCGUAUUUGGCUUUUGGAGCUAUCGGGACGACAGUGAACUUUGUCGGUUCUUUCGGAGGGGUCUGUGGGUGUUGGGUCUUUGUCAGCACUGAAGCGCUUCGACCGUUCGUUUCGUGUGACUGGAAAGUGGAGUGGCGCUUUCUUCGAGGAGUUUCAGGGUUUAUUGUGGUUAAUUUUGAAGCUGUUCGGUGUAAGUGAUUUUUCGAGGAUUUUCUAGGGUGUUUUGUAUAGACUUCCUGUCAAUCCUGUGGUUUCCAGUAGAUUCUCUACGUGUCUACUUGGGAGAGUACUCGUACGAGGUGAUUGUGCUGUCAACGCAGCUCCAACGAAUGAGGAAGUGGCUGCUAUAGCUGCGGUGGCUGUUGAUACUGCUGUUGCUGCUGCUGCUGCUGCAUUUGGAAUAACCGCACGACUAGCGUUGCUUUCGCUCGCAACGGGAAACUCAAAUAGAGGCGUCCUCAAACUAAAGGUAAUGGAUGCGACUGCAAAAGCAAGGAGACUACUCCCAAAUUUCUGGAUUGAAGGGACUUUGCAGGCUACUGGGGCAGCAGCAAUGGGGCCAUCGAUGCAAGGGCCGAGAAGACCAGUGAACGAUCGGUGUACUGUACCAGACUCAGUGACCACUAUCGCUCCUACUCCAGUGCAAGCGGCUGCCACAAAGGAGAUCUCAAGAAGGGACAUUCUAAAGGACAGACUUGUAGCUUCAGCUGCAUAAGCACAGCUACUAUAAUUUCUGCAACCUCGACGUAGAGUGACUGACAUCCUUCACGUAUUGUGAUAAUUAGUGGAUUAGUAACAAUCUGUAUUGGAGGGAACCUAGGUUGAAUCAGAACCAGUUGGUGUUUUUCGAGGAUUACAAGCAAGUUUGUUGCCGAGGAAAUUGGGUGACGAUGUACUCUAAGUUGGCACAACGUAGAGUUGCACGUCGAUGCUUUGUAUUCAACAAGUGUACAGUGUAAAUACAAACGAACAUUUUGAGUAUCAGUAGCAAACCAUAGAUAUGAUAAAUCUGUACAAUGAAGGCGGAUAUUGAAUAUAAGUUAAGCGUCUAUCAUCAGGGUAGUUGAAGAGAAGUGAAUUGUGAGUUGUAAAGCGACCUCAACAUGUGCAUGUACUAAUUCGUCCAAGCUAACGCAUCAAUAAAUAAGCUCAUUCGAACAA